rnacentral:rRNA from 1 species
GAUGAGCGCUGGCGGCGUGCCUAAUACAUGCCAGUCGAGCGAACGGACGAGAAGCUUGCUUCUCUGAUGUUAGCGGCGGACGGGUGAGUAACACGUGGAUAACCUACCUAUAAGACUGGGAUAACUUCGGGAAACCGGAGCUAAUACCGGAUGAUAUUUUGAACCGCAUGGUUCAAAAGUGAAAGACGGUCUUGCUGUCACUUAUAGAUGGAUCCGCGCUGCAUUAGCUAGUUGGUAAGGUAACGGCUUACCAAGGCAACGAUGCAUAGCCGACCUGAGAGGGUGAUCGGCCACACUGGAACUGAGACACGGUCCAGACUCCUACGGGAGGCAGCAGUAGGGAAUCUUCCGCAAUGGGCGAAAGCCUGACGGAGCAACGCCGCGUGAGUGAUGAAGGUCUUCGGAUCGUAAAACUCUGUUAUUAGGGAAGAACAUAUGUGUAAGUAACUGUGCACAUCUUGACGGUACCUAAUCAGAAAGCCACGGCUAACUACGUG